AGCCCCGUGGUGAAGACCACAUCAGAUUGCAAACCUGAAGACGUAGGCUCACAGCCUGCCGGGGCUU
rnacentral:tRNA from 1 species